UACGUAGGUGACAAGCGUUGUCCGGAUUUACUGGGCGUAAAGAGCGCGCAGGCGGUCGUUCAAGUCGAGUGUGAAAGCCCCCGGCUCAACUGGGGAGGGUCAUUCGAUACUGAUCGACUCGAAGGCAGGAGAGGGAAGUGGAAUUCCCGGUGUAGUGGUGAAAUGCGUAGAUAUCGGGAGGAACACCAGUGGCGAAGGCGACUUCCUGGCCUGUUCUUGACGCUGAGGAGCGAAAGCGUGGGGAGCGAACAGG
rnacentral:rRNA from 1 species